AGAGUUUGAUCAUGGCUCAGGAUGAACGCUGGCGGCGUGCCUGACACAUGCAAGUCGAGCGAUCUUCUUCGGAAGAGAGCGGCGGACGGGUGAGUAACGCGUGGGUAACCUGCCUCAUACACAUGGAUAACAUACCGAAAGGUAUGCUAAUACAAGAUGAUAUAAGGGAUUCGCAUGGAUUUCUUAUCAAAGCUCCGGCGGUAUGAGAUGGACCCGCGUCUGAUUAGCUAGUUGGUAAGGUAACGGCUUACCAAGGCGACGAUCAGUAGCCGACCUGAGAGGGUGAUCGGCCACAUUGGAACUGAGACACGGUCCAAACUCCUACGGGAGGCAGCAGUGGGGAAUAUUGCACAAUGGGCGAAAGCCUGAUGCAGCAACGCCGCGUGAGCGAUGAAGGCCUUCGGGUCGUAAAGCUCUGUCCUCAAGGAAGAUAAUGACGGUACUUGAGGAGGAAGCCCCGGCUAACUACGUG
rnacentral:rRNA from 1 species